AGAGUUUGAUCAUGGCUCAGAAUCAACGCUGGCGGCGUGCCUAACACAUGCAAGUCGAACGCGAAAGUGGAGCAAUCCAUGAGUAGAGUGGCGGACGGGUGAGUAACGCGUGGGUGACCUACCUUCGAGUGGGGGAUAACGUCCCGAAAGGGACGCUAAUACCGCAUGACAUCCUGUCCUUGAACGGACGGAGAUCAAAGCUGGGGAUCGUAAGACCUGGCGCUUGAAGAGGGGCCCGCGUCUGAUUAGCUAGUUGGUGAGGUAACGGCUCACCAAGGCGACGAUCAGUAUCCGGCCUGAGAGGGCGGACGGACACACUGGGACCGAGACACGGCCCAGACUCCUACGGGAGGCAGCAGUGGGGAAUUGUUCGCAAUGGGCGCAAGCCUGACGACGCAGCGCCGCGUGGAGGAUGAAGGUCUUCGGAUUGUAAACUCCUGUUGCUCGGGACGAAAAGCUUCGACCUAACACGUCGAGGUCUGACGGUACCGGGUAGGAAGCCCCGGCUAAUCUGUGCCAGCAGCC
rnacentral:rRNA from 1 species